UUGAGACUGUGUGUCAACAGCAACCAAAGACAUUGUUCAGGAGCAGUACUGCCCCGUAGAAAAAGUGGCCGUGAUAUGGUACGGUGAAUGCGAGUUACGCUACUCAAACGAGUCAUUCUUCUCCACCAUGGGCGAAGAUCUCACAUUUUUAUUGAGUAACACUCAAAAUAUAACAGAGCAAACAGAGCAAGAUCGCUUCUUCCUGCUACUUGGAGCUUCAAUGAAUGAAAUAGGGAGCAAAGCAUCAACUGCUUCCCUCGGUACAAAAAAAUUUGCAACAAAAGAAGCCAAUUUUUUGGAAUUACAAACCACAUAUAGCCUCGUCCAAUGCGACCCUCUGCUAUCCAGCUCUGAUUGCAGUAGGUGUUUUGUGAAUCUCAUAUCAUAUUUGCGAAGUUGUUGUGCAGGAAAGCAAGGGGGUAAUGUUCUGAAUCCUAGUUGCUAUAUUUGGUACGAAAUAUAUCCGUUUUACAAGGUACAAUCCGCACCGUCAUCAGCUCCAGAAUCAGUGCUUGUUGCUCCUCCGCUUCCAAAUAUAGUCACCACAUGAAAAGGAGGAAAGAAGACAACCAAGACAGAAAUCAUUGCUAUAUCGACAAUUGCAUCAAUUGCAGUAGUUGCAGCUCUCUUCGGUUUCUGGUUUUAUAAAUACUCUGGCGGGAGGAAACACGAAGAAGAGAGGGACACAAGCCCAGUAAUUCCGUUACGAAGUAAUUUUGCAAGGUUACGUUCAAUUCGAUUAACAGACAGCAGUAUGUAUGCAAGAAAUGUUGACGACAGUGGAGAAUUAAUGCAAUUGACGACAGUAUGGUACUUCGAUUUAAGUACCAUACUGUCUGCUACAAACAAUUUCUCUGAUGAGAAUAAGCUUGGAGAAGGUGGUUUUGGCCCAGUUUAUAAGGUUUAAAUUUAUAAAUAUUUUCUUUCAUAUGCAAUUUUUGAAAUUAUUUGAACAUUUGCAAUUGAAAUUAAUACAUAGCAACAGAAAAUGUUAGGAUCAAUAUCAACUAAAAGAUUACAUCAUUUGAUUUUAGGAGAGUUGAACUAUCAUUGAACCUUUAGUGUUGUAACAUGUAACAGAGUAUGUCUAUUGUCUACCAAUACUGUCAAAAGCUUUCAUUGAUAAAGAAUGUUUAAAAUGCUUCUAGGGCUUGAUUAAUGGAAAGGAAACUGCAAUUAAAAGGCUUUCAAUGAAAUCUAAACAACGUCUUCAAGAGUUUAAGAAUGAAGUGAUUUUAAUUGCAAAACUUCAACACAAUAGUCUUGUGAGGCUCUUGGGAUGCUGCUCAGAAGGAGAUGAACAGAUUCUAGUCUAUGAAUACAUGGCCAACACUAGUCUUGAUGCCUUUUUGUUUGGUUUGCUCUCUCUCUCUCUCUCACACACACACACAUUUGCACCAUUAAUUAUAGGCCAAUUCAUGGCAAAAUUUCCUAUGCGUGAGAAUCAAUCACCUUAAUAUUACAAUGAAGAUCCAAAAAAAUGUAAGGAACUAGAUUGGGCUAAAUGCAUAAACAUUGUCAAUGGGAUCGCUAAAGCCUUCAAUAUCUACAUGAAGACUCUCGAUUGAAAAUCAUCCAUAGGGAUAUGAAAGCGAGUAAUGUGCUCUUAGAUGAUGAGAUGAACCCAAAGAUAUCAGAUUUUGGCACCGCUAGGAUGUUUGGGAGAAAUCAAAUAGAAGCCAACACCAUCAAAAUCGUGGGUACAUAGUAAGCAAUCCCUUGACUUCAUCCUCAUUUUAAUUCUAUAAAUCAUUGUUGCAGCUUUCUAAAGAAAUUUUUCCGCACACGAUCAAACUUAAGUUUGGCCCCCUUGCAUGCAUGUUUUAGGAGAUUUAUGGUUCAUUCCAUCUCCAUUUGCAACUCAUUUUUCAAAUAACAUUUUUAGUAAACAUUAAAAUUUAGCAUUGAAUCAAACAGAAAACUCUAAAAUUUCAAUCGUGAUUUAAAGAAAGCACUGUAAGAUCAAGGAUUUGCAAAGGAAGAAAGCCAGUUACCAUGAGUCAUGGUUUUGUCAAAGUACCUUAUGCUCUUAGUGAUACUACAUAGUCUACAUUAAUUAGGACAACUUAGCCUUCAUUCUCUUUUACAGUACUUGAAACCAUAUUGUAUAAUAAUACACGUUUUUUUUAAUAGUGGAUACAUGGCACUAGAAUAUGCAAUGGAAGGGCUAUUUUCAAUAAAGUCUAAUGUUUAUAGCUUUGGAAUUCUAAUUCUUGAAAUUGUUAGUGGAAAAAAGAAUUGUGGCUUUUAUCAUCCAGAGCAUGCACAAAGUCUUC